rfam:Picea glauca, whole genome shotgun sequence.
AUGUACAUUCUUACAUCAUAGCGUUAAUGCAUUGGAUGCCAUUCAAACUCCUCAAUUAAGCACGCUCAGGCUAGAGUAGUAAUGGGAUGGGUGACCACCCGAGAAGUAUUAGAAUUUUACAUG